AUUGAACGCUGGCGGCAUGCCUUACACAUGCAAGUCGAACGGCAGCACGGGGGCAACCCUGGUGGCGAGUGGCGAACGGGUGAGUAAUACAUCGGAACGUGUCCUGUAGUGGGGGAUAGCCCGGCGAAAGCCGGAUUAAUACCGCAUACGACCUGAGGGAGAAAGCGGGGGCUCUUCGGACCUCGCGCUAUAGGGGCGGCCGAUGGCAGAUUAGCUAGUUGGUGGGGUAAAGGCCUACCAAGGCGACGAUCUGUAGCUGGUCUGAGAGGACGACCAGCCACACUGGGACUGAGACACGGCCCAGACUCCUACGGGAGGCAGCAGUGGGGAAUUUUGGACAAUGGGGGCAACCCUGAUCCAGCAAUGCCGCGUGUGUGAAGAAGGCCUUCGGGUUGUAAGGCACUUUUGUCCGGAAAGAAAACUUCGUCCCUAAUAUGGAUGGAGGAUGACGGUACCGGAAGAAUAAGCACCGGCUAACUACGUGCCAGCCGCCGCCGUAA
rnacentral:rRNA from 1 species